GGAGGAGAGCAGUGUGAACUCUGUGGAGGAGUGCAGGUGGGAGGUUUGCCGUUCUUGUGGCAGCAGCGUUUGCGCCGGUUUUAUUUCAUCAUCAUAAACUGAACUCUGCAGUCCAGCUAGAACUGGGGGUAAGGAACCAUGAAGCCCACAGAACUGCAGCCAGAACACAGAGAUUCUGGGGUAUUUUGAGCAGGUCAAUUGGAUGUAUAUAUAUAUGGAGACAGAGAGGGGAGAGAGAGAGAAGUAACAUUUAACAAUUAAAGAAUUGGGGUAAAGAGG